UACGGGGGGGGCAAGCGUUGUUCGGAAUUACUGGGCGGAAAGGGCUCGUAGGCGGCCAACUAAGUCCGACGUGAAAUCCCCAGGCUUAACCUGGGAACUGCGUCGGAUACUGGAUGGCUUGAAUUCGGGAGAGGGAUGCAGAAUUCCAGGUGUAGCGGUGAAAUGCGUAGAUAUCAAGAGGAACACCUGCGGCGAAGGCGGGUUGCUGGGCCGACACUGACGCUGAGGCGCGAAAGCUAGGGGAGCGAACGGG
rnacentral:rRNA from 1 species